rnacentral:lncRNA from 1 species
UGAGCCACGCCCUCCUUUAAAUAUUUUAUUUAGAGACAGGGUCUCACUGAGUUGCUUAGGGCCUCAUUAAUUUGCUGAGGCUGGCUUUGAACCUGAGAUCCUCCUGCCUCAGCCUCCUGAGCUGCUGGGAUUACAGACAUGUGCCACUGCACCUGGCUUGGUGACAGCGACCUUGCUUUUCCCACUCUCUCCAUAUCCCUGGAGUGAACUGCCUGACAUGGGUGUUAUAGGGCCUGUCAUGUCCCCAUUUUGCACUGGUGUCCCCAGGCCURGGCCUGUCCUAUGGCUGACUUUCCUAUGUUGACUGUUUAAGUCCAGCCUGGGGCCACCAGAGAGAUUAGGGAUGUCAGCAGCUUGACCCUCUGGGGGCCGCUCUUUGGGGUGGGAAUAGGACACAAGCAGGACCCAGCUGCAACCCGCUUCCCCACUUAACCACCAAAUGCAGUGGUUUCUUUCUGAAAACAAAAUCAAAAGCCCAGCUGAAAAAGAACAGUGACCUCCUACUCAGUUUUUCCGGUCCAACAGGCGUGCACCAAGCACUUUGAGGUCUGUGGCCUGUUACCAUUUCACAGACAGGAAAACGGAGGCUUCGAGGAACUGAGUAAAACCUCAGGGUCACACAGGAAAUUCAGCAGGGGCCUCCCACGCACCACCUAGGGCCUCACAAGGGCACAUGGAGAGUGUGCUUACUGGCAGCUGAGACUCGGGUCUAACUCCCAGCAAAACUUGCACCAGACAGCCUCGGGGGUUCUUGGGAAUCCAACGUCAUCCUUAGAACCUCUCAGGAGCUCACAUCUGCACACCCCGCAGCCUGCUCCUCCUCGCCACGCACACAGAGGCCACUGUGGGRACAGGCGAUGCCCUGGACCUCACCCCCAUGGGAGGAAGCUGAGAACCCUGGCCCUGAAGGCAGAGCGCCUGGCUCACUCAGCUUUCUGCUGCUUCCUUGUGACCUUG